rnacentral:rRNA from 1 species
CAUAGCCUUUAGCGAAACAAGUAUUAAAGGUCCUGCCUGCCCAGUGAACACAUUCAACGGCCGCGGUACCCUAACCGUGCAAAGGUAGCGUAAUCACUUGUCCCAUAAAUAGAGACCAGUAUGAACGGCUAAAUGAGGGCCGAACUGUCUCCUUUGGCACCCCAAUGAAACUGAUCUCCUAGUCCAAAAGCUAGGGUAUUAACAUAAGACGAGAAGACCCUGUGGAGCUUCAAAUACACCGACUACCAGUAACCCCCCAGUAGCGAAAUUUUUAGUUGGGGCGACUAUGGAGCAAAACGAAACCUCCAUGAAAAGGGCUAACACCCAAACAUAGGCCUACAAGCCAACAAAAAGAUCCAGUACAACUGACCAACGAACCAAGUUACCCCAGGGAUAACAGCGCCAUCCCUUUAAAGAGUCCAUAUCGCCAAAGGGGCUUACGACCUCGAUGUUGGAUCAGGACCCCCAGGCGGCGCAGCCCCUGCCAACGGUUCGUUUGUUCAACGAUUAAUGUCCUACGUGAUC